rnacentral:rRNA from 1 species
GAGUUUGAUCAUGGCUCAGAUUGAACGCUGGCGGCAUGCCUUACACAUGCAAGUCGAACGGCAGCAUGAUCUAGCUUGCUAGAUUGAUGGCGAGUGGCGAACGGGUGAGUAAUACAUCGGAACGUGCCCUGUAGUGGGGAUAACCAGUCGAAAGAUUAGCUAAUACCGCAUACGACCUGAGGGUGAAAGUGGGGGACCGCAAGGCCUCAUGCUAUAGGAGCGGCCGAUGUCUGAUUAGCUAGUUGGUGGGGUAAAGGCCCACCAAGGCGACGAUCAGUAGCUGGUCUGAGAGGACGAUCAGCCACACUGGGACUGAGACACGGCCCAGACUCCUACGGGAGGCAGCAGUGGGGAAUUUUGGACAAUGGGCGAAAGCCUGAUCCAGCAAUGCCGCGUGUGUGAAGAAGGCC